GCCUCACUCACUUUUACUUAAAUAAUUACUUGUCAUAUUUUUAUACAGUAAUUUUUUAAAGUUUUUAAUUUAAAUCCAGCUGAUAAUUCAAGAAUUAAACGACUCGAGGACGAGGACGAGGACAAUUUUUUAGUGUCGUGUUUUAUAUGACAACGUCGAUAUUCUAACAGCUGUUUGAUGCUGGUCCUUUUGUCCAGUCUCGGCCUUCGUGUACGAUAACUGAUUGGUGGAGAUGAACCCAGCACUUUUCAUUGGCCGUUCAUUUUCUGUCUAACUGACUGGGAAACAAGAAAAGCUCGAGCUCGUGUCCAUCAACAACACAACCCCAAAUUACUUUUACUUAAUUACUAUAUUUGUUAUUAAAUAUUUGUCAUUUUUAUUUUAUUCAAAUAUUUAAAUAUUCAAAUAGUAAUUUAUUUACUGCGCGAUGAAUGUCAAUGACAAUUGUCUUAUCUAUAUGUAGUAAUUAUAUGGAGCUCCUUCCGUUAAGGUGGAACUCAAAUUUAUUACGCAAUAAUAUAAAUAAUUAAAGUUAUGAACACGUGGAAUUAUUUAAAAAAGGUGAGCUGUCAAAUGAAUUUAUUUUAUUUAGACAUUUUUUCAAUUACUGGCAAACUAUUUUUAAAUUUAUUUUUUAAAGUUGGGUUUUAAUUUUAGAUAGUCGAUAGUAAAAUGAACAAAAAAUGACCGAACUCAACCUUGCUAGCAACUACGAGCUCUAGCAACUUUGCAAUAGGCCUUCAAACUUCCGUGAUGUUGCUGUAGCCGCCUGCUGACUGAACUACGAAACACGCUUUCGAAAAUUUGUUUAACUUGGAGUCCUACUCGAUGGAUAACGUCAAAUAUCAAGGACUAUUUUGACAAUUUACACUAUCAUCAGGUGCAUUAAUUAUUGUAUGACCGAAUAAAUGGAUUGUCAGUUUAUCAAUGCCUAGAAGUGUUUCAUUGCAAACAGGAC